rnacentral:rRNA from 1 species
GACGAACGCUGGCGGCGUGCUUAACACAUGCAAGUCGAACGGUAAGGCCCUUCGGGGUACACGAGUGGCGAACGGGUGAGUAACACGUGGGUGAUCUGCCCUGCACUUCGGGAUAAGCCUGGGAAACUGGGUCUAAAACCGUACAGGACCACUGCCUGCAUGGGUGGUGGUGUACAGCUUUUGCGGUGUGGGAUGGGCCCGCGGCCUAGCAGCUUGUUGGGGGGGUGAUGGCCUACCAAGGCGAGGGCGGGGAGCCGGCCUGAGAGGGUGACCGACCACACUGGGACUGAGAUACGGCACAGACUCCUACGGGAGGCAGCAGUGGGGAAUAUUGCACAAUGGGCGCAAGCCUGAUGAAGCGAUGUCGCGUGAGGGAUGACGGCCUUCGGGUUGUAAACCUCUUUCAGCACCGACGAAGCGCAAGUGACGGUAGGUGCAGAAGAAGGACCGGCCAACUACGUGCCAGCCGCCGCCGUAA